rnacentral:sRNA from 1 species
AUGUUUGAGGGACAAGAGGAGGGAAAACCAGAGGAGGAACUCAAACCCAAGAAGAAAAUCUGGGAGAAACUACAGGUGUGUUACAAUGUAAUAAGGAAGCAGGGUGGAUUUGAGAGUGAUUUAGAAAAGUAUAGCAGAAUGGCAGGGCAAUAUAAUGAAGACAUAGCCAGGGAACGUUACAGCCAGCAGUCUAAAGUGUGUACCGAUAAAGUGAUGGAACACGAUUGAAUAUUGACCUCUAAAUAAUCUGACUAU